UACGAAGGGGGCUAGCGUUGUUCGGAAUUACUGGGCGUAAAGCGCACGUAGGCGGGUAUUUAAGUCAGGGGUGAAAUCCCAGAGCUCAACUCUGGAGCUGCCUUUGAUACUGGGUACCUAGAGUAUGGAAGAGGUGAGUGGAAUUCCGAGUGUAGAGGUGAAAUUCGUAGAUAUUCGGAGGAACACCAGUGGCGAAGGCGGCUCACUGGUCCAUUACUGACGCUGAGGUGCGAAAGCGUGGGGAGCAAACAGG
rnacentral:rRNA from 1 species